UACUGUCAUUUUUACUUAACUUACACAUGCUAGUAUCCGCACACCCGUGAAAACGCCCUUAACACCUUACUAGGAUAAGGAGUCGGUAUCAGGCACAGUGACUCUUGCCCACAACACCUAGCUUCGCCACACCCCCAAGGGUUUUCAGCAGUGAUAAACAUUGUUAAUAAGCGCCAGCUUGACUCAGUUAAAGUAAAUAGGGCCGGCCAACCCGGUGCCAGCCGCCGCGGCUAUCCCGUAGGGCCCAAACUGACUUACUACGGUGUUAAACGUGUUUAAAGUACUUCAACAAUUAGAAUUGUAUUUUGACCAAGUUGUGAUACACUUGUUGCUAAGAAAGACAAAAACGAAAGUUAUUCUAAUUUACCCACUUGAACCCACGACAGCUGGGACACAAACUGGGAUUAGGUACCCCACUAUGCCCAGCCGUAAAAUAUUUAUUUACGUCACUACCACCAGGGAAUUACGAGCCCAAGCUUAAAACCCAAAGGACUUGACGGUGCCCCACCCACCUAGAGGAGCCUGUUCUAUAAUCGAUUUUCCACGUUAUACCCAACCGUUUUUAGCCAAUCAGCCUGUAUACCUCCGUCGCAAGCUUACCAUAUGAACGUAAAUUAGUGAGCCAAAAGAUCUUAAACCAACACGUCAGGUCAAGGUGCAGCCCAAAAAACGGAAAGAAAUGGGCUACAAUUUCUAACUUAGAACACACGAAAGACUGCAUGAAACACAGCCAUGAAGGCGGAUUUAGUAGUAAAAAGAAAAUAGCGAGUUCUUUUUAAUUAGGCACUGGGACGCGUACACACCGCCCGUCACCCUCUUCAACUUAUGCUGACUAUAGUCUAUAACACAACUAUGCACCACAGAAGAGGUAAGUCGUAACAUGGUAAGUGUACUGGAAGGUGCACUUGGAUUA
rnacentral:ncRNA from 1 species